rnacentral:rRNA from 1 species
ACCAGACCUUCGGGUCUGGGGACAGCGGCGAACGGGUGAGUAACACGUGGGUAAUCAACCCUCGGUACUGGGAUAGCCCGGGGAAACCCGGAUUAAUACCGGAUGGCCCUUUGGAUCUUCGGAUCUGACGGAAAAGGUAGCUUCGGCCUCCGACCGAGGACGAGCCCGCGGCGGAUUAGCUUGUUGGUGGGGUAACGGCUCACCAAGGCGACGAUCCGUAGCUGGUCCGAGAGGACGAUCAGCCACACUGGGACUGAGACACGGCCCAGACUCCUACGGGAGGCAGCAGUGGGGAAUCUUGCGCUAAUGCGGGAAACCGUGACGCAGCGACGCCGCGUGAGGGAAGAAGGCCUUCGGG